UACGAAGGGUGCAAACGUUGCUCGGAAUUAUUGGGCGUAAAGCGCACGUAGGCGGCUUUGCAAGUCGGAUGUGAAAUCCCUCGGCUCAACCAAGGAAGUGCAUCCGAAACUGCCGAGCUUGAGUACUUAAGAGGAUCGCGGAAUUCCCGGUGUAGAGGUGAAAUUCGUAGAUAUCGGGAGGAACACCAGUGGCGAAGGCGGCGAUCUGGGAAGAUACUGACGCUGAGGUGCGAAAGCGUGGGGAGCAAACAGG
rnacentral:rRNA from 1 species